UACGAAGGGGGCUAGCGUUGCUCGGAAUCACUGGGCGUAAAGGGCGCGUAGGCGGAUCUUUAAGUCGGGGGUGAAAGCCUGAGGCUCAACCUCAGAAUUGCCUUCGAUACUGGAGAUCUUGAGUCCGGAAGAGGUAAGUGGAACUGCGAGUGUAGAGGUGAAAUUCGUAGAUAUUCGCAAGAACACCAGUGGCGAAGGCGGCUUACUGGUCCGUUUCUGACGCUGAGGCGCGAAAGCGUGGGGAGCAAACAGG
rnacentral:rRNA from 1 species